UACGUAGGCAGCAAGCGUUGUUCGGAAUUACUGGGCGUAAAGAGUGUGUAGGCGGCUUCGCAAGUUUGGUGUGAAAUCUCCCGGCUUAACUGGGAGGGUGCGCCGAAAACUGCGAGGCUUGAGUGUCGGAGAGGAAAGCGGAAUUCCUGGUGUAGCGGUGAAAUGCGUAGAUAUCAGGAGGAACACCUGUGGUGUAGACGGCUUUCUGGACGACUACUGACGCUGAGACACGAAAGCGUGGGGAGCAAACAGG
rnacentral:rRNA from 1 species